GAUGAACGCUGGCGGCGUGCCUAAUACAUGCAAGUAGAACGCUGAAGGAAGGAGCUUGCUCUUUCCGGAUGAGUUGCGAACGGGUGAGUAACGCGUAGGUAACCUGCCUGGUAGCGGGGGAUAACUAUUGGAAACGAUAGCUAAUACCGCAUAACAGUAGAUGUUGCAUGAUAUCUACUUAAAAGGUGCAAUUGCACCACUACCAGAUGGACCUGCGUUGUAUUAGCUAGUUGGUGAGGUAACGGCUCACCAAGGCGACGAUACAUAGCCGACCUGAGAGGGUGAUCGGCCACACUGGGACUGAGACACGGCCCAGACUCCUACGGGAGGCAGCAGUAGGGAAUCUUCGGCAAUGGACGGAAGUCUGACCGAGCAACGCCGUGUGAGUGAAGAAGGGUUUCGGAUCGUAAAGCUCUGUUGUAAGAGAAGAACGAGUGUGAGAGUGGAAAGUUCACACUGUGACGGUAGCUUACCAGAAAGGGACGGCUAACUACGUG
rnacentral:rRNA from 1 species